AUACGGAGGGUGCAAGCGUUACUCGGAAUCACUGGGCGUAAAGCGCGCGCAGGCGGCUAUUUAAGUUGGAUGUGAAAGCCUAUGGCUCAACCAUAGAACUGCAUCCAAAACUAUUUAGCUAGAGUGUGGGAGAGGAAGAUGGAAUUAGUUGUGUAGGGGUAAAAUCCGUAGAGAUAACUAGGAAUACCAAAAGCGAAGGCAAUCUUCUGGAACACUACUGACGCUGAGGCGCGAAAGCGGGGGGAGCAAACAGGAUUAGAUACCCUAGUAGUCC
rnacentral:rRNA from 1 species